UGGGAACCACUUCCCUAAAGCCUGUGCUUGGGAGAAGGUGGAGGGUUGCCAGAUUUAGCAAACAAAAUGAGCGGUACUUAGAUGAAAGCGUUAUUUAUCUAGAACUCUAAUUUCAUUGGCGUUCUGCAGUUUUAAGAGGGAAGGAAAAGUACUGGAAAUGGACCGAAGGUUGAAAUUUUAAAAUGAACAGGGCAGAAUCUUAAGGAAUGAAAAUAACCGUUUAAUGAUAAAAGUGAACUGAGAUUCCCAGUAAACCAGUGAUAUCACGCUGACCUUGCCCCAGAGAUGAACAAACAGAAGCCUGGAGAAUUUACGUGAUUUGUGCAAGUUCAACACAGCUGUGAUGUGGACCAGUUAGAUGGGCUCUGGCAGCCAUCUCGGACCAAAAGGUAACUUUAAAGACAGAAGCUAUGUACUUGCAAGGUAGAUCAGAAGAACAGGAGGAACCUGACUCCCCAGUGACACUGG